AUGGUUUGAGUGUCAGCUUCUCCAGCCCUGACAUGGGGAUGGCCACACUGGACUACAGUCCUUUUUGGCCUCCCCUUUCUGUUUCUCAGUGGUUUGAGCUGUCCUGUUACCUUUUGUUCUCUUCUGCCUGUGAGGUAAUGUGCUGAUGUCACAGCAAGGUUUAUAGCCACAUGUCACAAAAUGGCAUGGAUACCCAGGCAUAAUACAGAUGAACCAAAACAGAAGAGAAUCUUUCACCAUCCUCGAGUCCUCACGUAACCCACUCUUCCCUCUGAAUAUGGUCUUCUGCUGCUGUCCUUACUGGGAUUAGACAUAGAAAAGAUGCUGUGUGCCCAUCUCUCUCCUACAAUCUGGCUGGGGUGAGCAUCUGGGGGUGAGCAGCUGGAGGUGAGCAGCUGGAAGUGAGCAGCUGGAGGUGAGCAUCUGGAGGUGAGCAUCUGGAGGUAAACCACUUACUUGCCUGAUUUCUCCAAGGAUCCUGAAAGAGACCAGAAUGUGAAACUGGAGUUACAGAUGGUUGUGAGCCACCAUUGUAUGUCCUGGAUUCUCUGAAGAAGUUGCCAGCCACACAGAAGCAGCAUGGAGAGAGGACUGUGACCUGGAGUCAGUUCUGGUUCAGAGCAUGCCUAUGAGAAGUAAGCCAGCUCUGGAGUGCCAAGCGUGUAGGCCAGGUCGAGAGUCCGUGAGCUUCUCCAGCACAACAUGGAAGUAACUGUCCACAGGUGACCUCGGAGCAGCCUGCUCUGCAUCGGAAGCAUGCCUCUUGAGCCUGAGGAGUCUCAUCCAUCUCAUCCAAGGGCAGAGGUUAUCUUACGAGCCGUAGACACUCCCAGCAUAUGGCACUCAGGAGCUGACUGGGCAUUAGCUGUCAGGAGUAAUGCCUGGACAGGGGUACCUGCAGUGACCACAGGUCGUGCCUGUUCUCAUGGGGUAAAGGACAAGUGGGAACACGUAUUAUUAGAACCUGCACGACUGUGCCAGCGUUUGGGUCCCUUGCCCUCACAGAAGUAAACAAUUAAAAGUACAA